GGACUACCAGGGUUUCUAAUCCUGUUUGAUCCCCACGCUGUCGCGCCUGAGCGUCAGUUACGAGCCAGUGAGCCGCCUUCGCCACCGGUGUUCUUCCCAAUAUCUACGAAUUUCACCUCUACACUGGGAAUUCCACUCACCUCUCUCGUACUCCAGUCCAACAGUUUCAAUGGCAAUUCCGGAGUUGAGCUCCGGGCUUUCACCACUGACUUGAAGAACAGCCUGCGCGCGCUUUACGCCCAGUAAUUCCGAACAACGCUAGCCCCCUUCGUAUUACCGCGGCGGCUGGCAC
rnacentral:rRNA from 1 species